AACUUCCUCUCCCACCUCCCUUCAUCAAGGAGCAGUCUCAUGCCCAGGAGCUAGAAAUGUAGGCUUUGCCGGCAUUGGUUGAGCUGUGCUGGGCCCUAGGCAGCGAUGACUCAAACUUGACCCUUAACCCCCAGGCAGGCAAGUUUUCACUGGGUCUUACCCGACGUGAGCCCCCACUCCUCCAUAUGGACCUGUUUUGGACCAAUGAGGCAUCCUCUUCUGUAGUCCUCAACACGCGGAGCUCCACCACUCCUGAGCAGUGUGACCUCAGGUGGGGUUGGGGAGAGGCCUCGGGAUGGCAAGGACCAGGGUCUGCGGCCAAGCCUGUGGGUCCUGUCUCCCUCUAGGAUGCCCCUGGGACACUGGUACCCAUGGAUGCACUGGGUGACUUGAGGUGCUUGCUGCAGAGGCAUCGGGGGUCUCUGGCCAGAGGUGACAUCUGAAGCAAUCGGGAUCCUGUUUGGUUUUGCCACAUCCGACCUGCCGCCCAGCUGGGGCAAGACAGCCACGCGCGGCGGAUGCACCGGCCCUGAACUCUUUCUCGAGUAGUCCCCAGAGAUUUCAGGAAGAGAGAGAAGAGGUAAAGAGACCAGAAACAAAGUCUUCUGCAAGCAAAGAACUGCAACAGGCCCCAGCUGUUAGGUUUGAGGGGCGUAUGGGGCAGGCGACUGAACUGCAGAGUUGGAGCCAGAGGUACCAUUGCUGACCCCUGAGCCCAGGAGCCUUGAGAAUACUGACAGUGUUAAUAAUAACUGCAAUCAUCCAACAUAUGAUGCUAGAAUAACUGGACAUCUGUGUGCAAAAAUAUUAAACCUAUACCUUGCACCUUA
rnacentral:lncRNA from 1 species